rfam:Gossypium arboreum cultivar AKA8401 contig_5026_9, whole genome shotgun sequence.
UGUUAAAAAUUUUAUUCAUUUGUACCGUUAAAAAUUGACAUGAUUAAUGAAAUAAUAAGAAAGUGACAUGUGAUAUGCCUCGUGUACUUUAUGUUAACGCAUAAUGACCCGUUUUAACUGUAGAAUGGGAGAAAUUUUUAACA